rnacentral:rRNA from 1 species
UACGUAGGGGGCGAGCGUUGUCCGGAGUUACUGGGCGUAAAGGGCUCGUAGGCGGCCAACUAAGUCGGACGUGAAAUCCCUCGGCUUAACCGGGGAACUGCGUCCGAUACUGGAUGGCUUGAGUUCGGGAGAGGGAUGCGGAAUUCCAGGUGUAGCGGUGAAAUGCGUAGAUAUCAUGAGGAACAUCUGUGGCGAAGGCGAUUGUCUGGCUCGUUUCUGACGCUGAGACGCGAAAGCGUGGGGAGCAAACAGG